ACUGGGGAGGAACACGUGAGCAACCUGCCCUGGAGAUGGGGAAAACCGUUGGAAACGACGGCUAAUACCGAAUGUGGCGCCGGGAGGCAUCUUCCGGGACGGCCGAAGGGGGCCGCAAGGCUCCCGCUCCGGGAUGGGCUCGCGCACCAUCAGCUUGUUGGCGGGUAACGGCCACCAAGGCUUACGGUUAGCUGGUCUGAGAGGAUGACCAGCCCCACUGGGACUGAGAUACUGCCCAGACUCCUACGGGAGGCUGCAGUCGAGGAUCAUUUGCAAUGGGCGAAAGCCUGACAAUGCGACGCUGCGUGGAGGAUGGAAAACGGCCUUCGGGUUGUAAACUCCUGUCAUGAGGGAACAGGCGAUGUGACCCAACACGUCACAAAGUUGAGUGUACUUCAAGAGGAAGGGACGGCUAACUCUGUGCCAGCCGCCGC
rnacentral:rRNA from 1 species